rnacentral:rRNA from 1 species
UACGAAGGGGGCUAGCGUUGUUCGGAGUUACUGGGCGUAAAGGGCGCGUAGGCGGCCCUCCAAGUCGGGCGUGAAAGCCCACGGCUCAACCGUGGAAUUGCGCUCGAGACUGAAGGGCUCGAGGACGGGAGAGGAUGGUGGAAUUCCCAGUGUAGAGGUGAAAUUCGUAGAUAUUCGGAAGAACACCAGUGGCGAAGGCGGCUCACUGGCCCGGUACUGACGCUGAGGUGCGAAAGCGUGGGGAGCAAACAGG